rnacentral:rRNA from 1 species
UACGGAGGUGGCUAGCGUUGUUCGGACUUACUGGGCGUAAAGCGCGCGUAGGCGGCUGUGCAAGUCGGGGGUGAAAGCCCGAGGCUCAACCUCGGAACUGCCUUCGAUACUGCGGGUCUCGAGGCCGGGAGAGGAGAGUGGAAUUCCUAGUGUAGAGGUGAAAUUCGUAGAUAUCAGGAAGAACACCAGUGGCGAAGGCGGCUCACUGGCCGGAUACUGACGCUGAGGCGCGAAAGCGUGUGGAGCAAACAGG